UACAGAGGGGGCAAGCGUUGUUCGGAAUUACUGGGCGUAAAGGGCGCGUAGGCGGCCUUCUAAGUCGAACGUGAAAUCCCUGGGCUCAACCCAGGAACUGCGUCCGAUACUGGAAGGCUUGAAUCCGGGAGAGGGAUGCGGAAUUCCAGGUGUAGCGGUGAAAUGCGUAGAUAUCUGGAGGAACACCCGUGGCGAAGGCGGCUCCCUGGUCCGUCCCUGACGCUGAGACGCGAAAGCGUGGGGAGCAAACAGG
rnacentral:rRNA from 1 species